rnacentral:lncRNA from 1 species
CUUAUAUUUACCCUUGGACAAUUUUUGGAUUGGACUGAAUAAUUUGGAAAGAACGGAAUCUUUUUCUUGGUCAGAAGGAACCCAAGCAAAUAUGACACUUCCUUGGCUCCAGUUGUCACAAGCUGUCUAUCCAAAUACUGUAUAUUGUGUGAAAAUUUCCAAACGCAAGUUAGUCGGUAUGAAUUGUGAUACAAAGUCCCACUGGAUCUGCAAGCGAAGUGCAGUAGUUGAUCGCUAUCAAGAACACAAAGGGAAGAUACUUCUAUCACUGCUAGAUUCUCCAUCCCAAAUGCUCACAGAUUUGGCUUCUUCAAAG